GUGGAAGAAACGACUACUGAUUUUAUAUUAUAUAUAUAGAUAUAUGUAACUGGUGAAGUAAUGGGUUUAUUCUGGGAAAGUAAGUUAAGAGGAUAGUACAAUAUCAGUAUCUCUGGUAAAGGACAUUCGUUUAUUCAAUUCGUAAAUAUAGAUAUAAGAAAAUGUGGUAUGAAUACCAAUGCAGACAACUCUCCAUUGUAUGUCUUUUUUCCUGUUUCAUCUCAUUCAGACUUAUUUGGAUAUAGAUGUAAAAACAUGUAGAAUGAGUGCUAAUGAGACAACUCUCCGUCCAAGUCACAAUUUAUAAAAGUAAACCAGUAUAGGUCAAAGUACGGUCUUCAACGCGGAACCUCGGUUGAGCCGCACAGCAAGCUAUAAAGGGCCCAAAAAAUUACGAGUAAAACAAUUCAAAAGGGAAAACCAACGUUAUCUGUAUAUAUAUAUAUAAAAAAAUAUUACUUCGUAAUCAACUUCCGAGAGGUGCUAUACAGUAAACAAUGAAGACGAUAAGUGGGACUUAACAUUUACAACAAUGUAGUUUAUUUGUUAAAUCAUAUCUUUGGCAUGUACAAGUAUUUCUAAUCAUAUUGUUAUAUGUUAUAUGCCCUCCUGGGGUCAUAAUUUGUAAAUAAAAAUUCUUCUUCUGGAGUGUUGAAUAAACUUGCAUUAUAAAUGUUCUGACAAUAAAGUGUAAAAUCGUAGGGUCUUACAAACCAGUAUUCAAUGUAUAAAAAGGGGAGUGGGUGGUCACAUGGAAUGUCACAGCAAUAUUUACUUUUUCCCUUCACUUGAUAAAGGCAGAUGAUGCUCUAAACACCCAUCAUCCCCUUCCCCGGUAGCAAGGGGGUUCGAGGGGUUCAUACGACUCCUCUUGAAAACAAAUAAGCACUGUUA
rnacentral:lncRNA from 1 species